AGGACUUAGCUGGCUCUGUGAACAGGUCUUUUGUGUUCAAUGUUCACAGUGGCUAAGUUCCAC
rnacentral:pre_miRNA from 1 species